rnacentral:rRNA from 1 species
UACGUAGGGUGCGAGCGUUGUCCGGAAUUAUUGGGCGUAAAGAGCUUGUAGGCGGUCUGUCGCGUCUGCUGUGAAAAUCCGGGGCUCAACCCCGGACUUGCAGUGGGUACGGGCAGACUAGAGUGUGGUAGGGGAGACUGGAAUUCCUGGUGUAGCGGUGAAAUGCGUAGAGAUCGGGAGGAACACCCGUAGCGAAGGCGGCCGACUGGACCACACCUGACGCUGAGGCGCGAAGGCCAGGGGAGCGAACGGG